GCCUUGCCUUCACAAACAAUACAUGAUGUAGCAGACGCAGACCACGCAGAAGCAAAUCAAAGUUUGGAGGGGAAGGACGACAAUAUUGCGAGUCUUGAGAAAGAAAGUAUCAAAAGCAAGGGACCUGAUGAGGUUCACCCCAGUGAAUCAGAAACACAUCAGAGUUUGGUGGACAAAGACAACAAUAUUGUAAGUCUUGAAAAAGAAAGCAUUGAAAGCAAAGGGCCUGAUGAGGUUCAACUCGGUGAAUCAGAAGCCACCAAGGUAGACUUUCUUUUGAAUUCUUCAAAACUUUAUGUAUUUAAUUUAACUAUUCAAUUUGCUUUCCUUGAACUCACUGUUUUUCCAACAUGCCUCCUCAUCUCAAGUUUGACUUGUGAAAAAUUUGAUCAACCAGGUUGCUGAAAUUGUUAGCACAACUGAUGAGGCUGAAACUACGUCUGUAGACGGAGGGGAAAGUGUUGAUGUCGACAAAGAUAAGGCAGAGUAUCAAGAGCACAAAAAUGUUAGAGGGUCAGUGAUGGAGGAAUAUAAUCAAGGGGAAGCAAAUGAAACACAAAUGGCCAAGAGCCAUGAGGUAAUAAUUGAUUCAAUGCCACGUAUGGUUUCUUACUAAGUCCAAAAUUCGUAUAUUUUACUGCAUGGCCAGAAGUAUAGAAACGAUUGAACUAAUAAUUCUUAACUUCUCCUCUAAAACCCUCAUUUCAAUAUAACAUUAAUUGUUGUCCUAUCUUGAUCAGAUCCCUGAAAUGGAUGAUCUAAGCCCUGAAAAGGCUUCGGAGACAAAUAAAUCGGUGAUGAAAGAUAUACAUGACAAAACUAAAACAAAGCAUGAAGAGCCAGAUUUUGCAAGUAACAAGCCAAUUAAUCAGACUAACAUGCCUGAACAAAGUCGAAUUCCUGAAGAAGAAAAUACUAUCAUGGAAAGCAAAACGGAGUCAAGCUUCCCAAAGGAUGCAAUUGAAAAUGCCCUGAAAUCAGACCCUGAUGAGAAAGAUGAGGAAAUGCUAAAGAAUGAGGAAUCCUCACAUAUUUUCCCAGAGUCCUCUCCCAACGUUGAUCAUAAAAUUGCUAGGGGAUUAUCUCAUCAAGAUGAAGGGAACAAGAUAUGUGAGGAUGCAGCACUAGAAACCCCAUCUGGCAAUCAAAGCCGUGAAGCAGAUGAGGAGCAAAUAGAAAUUGGGAAACCUAAAAAGCUGAACGAACUUAAACAAGAUAUUCCUAUGAAGUACUUUGAUGCUGUAAACAGUCAAGAAGAGACGAUACAUAAAGAAAAUCCUGAUAAUGUGGAAGAGAGCGAGAAGUGUGAAGUAAAGGAUGAAACUGCUUUAACACUCGAGCGAGCAUCUGCAGCGGACUCUGAAGAGCCCAGUCAUUGGCUGUUUAGCAGUUGUGAGAAGGUAUCCAAGUCUUAACCCAUACAAAAAUUUCAACAUUCUUUAUCCUUAUUUAUGAAUUGUUAAUGAAUAAACUAUUGACAAAGAAUUUUAAGUUUCUAUCCGCACAAGUUGUGCCCACCAUGCCAUACCAUGCAGACAAUAUAUCAGCAUGAUACCACCCGCAUGCCGAUGGCACAACUCAAAAUCAUUUUUUUUUCAAAAAUUAACAAGUAGCUACAUUAAUCAAAUACCAAAGAAUAUAGUUGUGCCAAAAGAAAAUAUAUGUUUUCAUAGUUGGAUAAAUUGAGUAGAAAAAGUAUAUGAAGCAGAAAGAUGAAAAAGUCUUUGAGUGUAGCAAUGCCACUCUCCUUAAAGCUAAAUCGUCCCCACCAUUCUCGUAAUUUGGUGUGCACUGGGUUAACAAAUAGCUUCUCAGGAUACAAUGAAAUAUAAACCUCAACUUCGUUUGCACACGUGAAGUCGAGCCUUUGAGCACUCACUCGAUUAAAUUGUCAAAAAGAAAAUAGAAUAAGAAACAAGAAAUUAUUAUAGAUAGAGACUUAAACUUUCCAACUGUCCUUCAGCAGUCAACGUUAUGGACUUAUAUGGACCACGAACAGGUGCUUUAUGAAGUGACAAUUCAUGAACGGGUGCUUCAUGAAGUGACUUUUCCUUUGAUCAUAACUAUCAAUUAGUUAUAUGAGUCAAGUUCAAUGAAUGUAAGAAUUAAUUUCAACGGACAUCCAUGAAAGGACACACUAAAAAGUUGUCUUUCUAUGUCUUAUCCUUUCAAUAAAAAUCACAUCCUUUCAUAUUCAUUCACCAAGAGUUACGACCUUUGAUUAGAGUCACAUCUACUCACUAAGAGUCGCAUUUGUACUAAGGGUUGCAUCCAUUCACUAAAACUCAAAGGACAAAAUAAAUAUAUAUUUUAAAAAUUUCCUUACAUUCAUGCCACAAUGUAUUGGCACAUAGAUAUCGUGCCAACAGCAUAGAUUGACACGGCAUAGCACGAUGGUGUGCCAUGCCACACCGUUGCUUAGCAUGAACCUGCAACUGACUAAGUGCAAAAUGUAGAUCAGAAGAUGAAAGAUGGGCAACCAAAAAAAAAAAGAGAAAGUAAGAUUUGUAGUUUCUGCAAGGGGCAUUUUAGCCAACUAAUCUCAUCCAAACUUUAUAUUCUAAAAAUAGGCCUACGAAAAUCGUAUUUACGGAAAUAGGCACGAAACUGCCACGUAAGCAGUGAGAUAGCGGAGGAAGAUAGAAGCCGUGAACCAAGUACCACUUUCAAGUGAAGACGGUAAAUGAUUCACCGCUUUCAUAAAAUUUUAAAAAUCCUAUGAAGGCGGUGAAUGGUUCACCGCCUUCAUGCAAUUCCCCGCGCAGAAUAUAAUAGUUAUGAACGCGGUGAAUGGUUCACUGCAUAUUAAGGCGGUGAAUCAUUUACCGCUUUUAUAUGCAGUGAUCCAUUCACCGCAUUUAUGAUAACCCCCACCCAGCCAAUUAGUUUGCAGAUUCCCACAUUAUACAAAAUAGCAAUAUUUUCAAGCAUUUCAAUUACAAGAAUAAAUACACAAAAUCAUCUAUAUCAACUUCAACCACACUUUAAGCAUAUAAAAUGAGCCAUACCAAUAUCAAGAUACUUCAAUAUGAAUAAAUUUAGAUAAUACCAUAAAAAAUCAAUGUAGAAAAAAUCAGAAAUAUCAAAUAUACAUGAGAAUCCCAAAAAUGAUAAACAAAAUCAAGUCCCCUCCAUCCCCCUCACAUGCUCUCGCCCUCGUCCCCUGCCACGUCCACGUCUGCGUCCACAACCGCGUCCUCGACUUCGUCCUCGAAUAUGCAUAUCAUGCUCCAUCCCAGGCUGCACGGGCUCAAUGACAUGCAUCUGAUCAAUAUGCUCAAUGGCGAUGCCCUCGACAAUCGGCUCCACCCCUUGCUCAUCAGCCGAUGGUACUGCGUCUCAAUAUGACCCUAUCAUCGUCGCCUACAUCAAUAUACAACAUCAUCGCAAUGAACCUAUGACGUGGAUGAAACGUCAGGAGGGAUAGGCAUGAAUGGAAUAUCAAAAUAGGAUACCUCUGACGUAGAUGGAAUAUCAAAUGGAGGGAUGGAUGCCGACGAAAUAUCAAACUCCACUUCUGAUGUCGAAGGGAUAUCAGAUGUCGAAGGGACAUCAGAUGGAUGAAUCGGGACAGAUGUCGAUAGAAAAUCAUAUGUAGGCAUGGAGGUGGAGGGAAUAUCACCAAAAUCAUAUACAGGCAUGGAGGUGGAGGGAAAAUCACUGUAAUCAGCAAAAGCCGGAGAAGGAAUAUCCGGAUGCCCUGUCACGGGAAAAGGGCCACCAACAACUACAUUCGAAAAUUCGUACUCCCUACAAUUGAUAGAAGAAGGCAAUCUAAAAUAAUUAUACAAUUGUUAUAUUAAAAUAAUUAUACAAAAGUCAUAUUUUGCAAUACUAACCUGGGUGCAUUUGCUCCUCCUCCAAUAUCAGCACGAAAAUGUUCUCUUUCGGGGCCAGGGAAUAAUACAUCCACAUUAAAGUCACUAUUUAACAUUCUAGAAUAAUACCCCUGAGAUAAAACCAUCUGUUUUUCAACGAAGAUUAUCAAACACGGAGGGUUCCCCGACAAUGCCAUCGCACCACACAAUGAGUCAUCAUCCGUAACUUCAACAACAUCGAACUGAUUCAUCCCAGUCGAAUAUCGGACUUUGAUAAUUAGACGAUACUCAUCUCUUGGGGUAUCGGUCAAUCUAUAUAUUUUUCUCUCGAAUUCUGUAAAUGUAAUAUCCACUGGGAUACACACUUAAUUUCUUACGACCGCCAACGUACUGUGGAUUGCUAUCUUGAGUGAAUAGUUCUCCAUUCCAAUGAACAAUAAUAGCCACAUUACUACGCGCCAUCCUAAUUUUUACAAAAUAUAAUAUUUAUAAACUAACAUAAUCGUAGCAAUAUUUGACCAAUUUAUAAUAUCAAUUUGCAAAUGACAUGUGUUCACUACAUCAGAAAAUAAUAAAUUUAUAAUAUUGUAAUAAUUUUAAAAAAAAAUUAUUAAUUUUUAGUAUAAAUUUAUCAAUUUUCAGUAUAUAUGUAUUUACUACACUCAUUUUUCAAAUUUCAUCAUACGAUGAUGCAAAUGUAAGGAAAUUUUUAAAAUAAUAUAUUUUGUUUAUUAAUUUUUAGUGAAUGGAUGCAACCCUUAGUGAGUGGAUGCAACUCUAAUCAAAGGGUGUAACUCUCAGAGUUAAAGGAUGUGACUUUUAGUGAAAGGAUAUGACAUGAAAAGACACAUCUUUAUCGUGUGUCUCUUCGAGUAUAUGUCCGUUGGAAUUAAUUCUUACAUUUAUUGAACUUGACUCAUAUAACUAAUUGGUAGUUAUGGUCAAAUGAAAAGUCACAAUUGAAAGAUCACUUCACGAAAUACCCGUUCAUGAAUAGUCACUUCAUGAAGCACCCGUUCGUGGUCUAUAUAAGUCCACAGCGUUGGUUGCAGAAACGAAAGUAGAAAAAAAAAGGAACAGUUGAAGAGUUUUAAGUCUCCAUUCAUAAUAAUUCCAUUCUUGUUUUCUUAUUCUUUUUGACAACUUAAUCGAGUAAGUGCUCAAAGGCUCGACUUCGUGUGUGCAAACGCAGUUGAGGUUUAUGCUUCAUUGUAUCUUGGGAGGCUGUUCGUUGACCCGGUGCACACCAAAUUGUUAGAACAGUAGUGACGGAUUAAGCCUUAAGGAAAGUGGCAUUGCUACACGCCUUGAAGCCUUUUUUCAUCUUUCUGUUUCAUACCUUUUUCACUAUCUGCUCUUAAAUCCGAAAAUGUCGACUGCUACUCAACGAGAGAUGACAACAAACUUUAUAAGACUAGAAAGAUUUGAUGGCAUGGACUUCAGGCGCUGGCAGAAGAAAUUAUUUUUCCUUCUGUCGACUCUCAAAGUUGCUUAUAUCCUCACUACUCCAAGACCAGAAGAAAACGAUGAUGAACCUAUUGCACAAACUUGUACAAGACAAAAAUGGGAUGAAGAUGACAAUAUAUGCCGAGGCAACAUUGUAAAUGCUAUGUCGGAUGCGCUUUUUGACGUCUAUCAAAAUAUGAAAAUGGCUAAAGAACUGUGGGAAGGUCUUGAAGAAAAAUACAAAUCCGUGGAUGCCACAAGUAAGAAGUUUCUUGUUAGCAAAUUUAAUAACUAUAAAAUGGUUGAUAGUAGAUAUGUUCUUGAUCAAUUACAUGAAAUUCAACAUAUUCUCAAUCAACUUACUCAACAUAAUAUGAAUAUGGAUGAAUCUAUAAUUGUGGCCUCUAUUAUCGAUAAACUUCCUCCAUCAUGGAAAGACUUUAAGAAAAGUCUUAAGCAUAAAAAGGAAGAGAUUACUCUUAAAGAUUUGGCUAACCAUCUUCGCAUAGAAGAAUAUCGUUUGCAUGAUGGCAAAAAGGAGCAAGAUGCUCGGAGUGUCAAAGUGUAUGUGACGGAAGAUGAGUAUAAUAAAACCCGUCAACCCAUAAAAGAAAAUCGAAAGAGAGCCAAACAUCCGAUCAACCACAACAUGACAAAUAAGAAAAAGAAAGAUGCAUGCUUUCAUUGUGGUAAACCGGGUCACUACAAGAAAGAAUGUCGGUUCCUCGAAAGGGAAAGUGCACCGGAUUCCAAAAGGAAUUUUGUGGCUAUGAUAUCCGAGGCUAACAUACUCGAAGAUGACGGAGUUUGGUGGAUUGAUUCAGGUUCCACAAGACGUGUGCAAGGAUAGAAGUUUAUUUAGAACUUAUGAUGCAUUGGAGGAUGGAAAUGUUCUCUAUGUGGGCAAUUCUUCAACAGCACAAAUCAAAGUAAAGAACACUCCAAUGAGAAAACUGAUGUUGUAAUUGAAACCCCAAAACUUAGAAGAAGUAAAAGAGUUAGAAUUGCUAAAACAUUUGGACCGGAUUUUUAUACUUUUCUUGUUGAGGGUAGUAGAGAAAUGAUUACAGAAAGUUUUCAAUUUUGUUUAAACAUUGACUCAGACCCCUAAACAUUGACUCAGACCCCACAACAUUUGAGGAGGCAAUGAAAUCUCCUGAUGUCACUUUUUGGAAAGAAGCGAUAAAUGAUGAAAUGGACUCAAUUAUGGCCAACCAAACAUGAAAAUUAGUUGAUCUUCCUCAUGGAUGUAAACCUAUUGGGUGUAAAUGGAUUUUCAAAAAAAAAUCAACGUAAAUGGCACCAUAGAUAAAUUCAAGGCAAGACUUGCUGCCAAAGGGUUUACACAAAAAGAAGGCAUUGAUUAUUUUGAUACCUAUGCACCUGUUGCCAGAUUAGCGACCAUUAGAACUUUGAUUGCUCUUGCUUCUAUGUAUAAUUUGAUUAUUCAUCAAAUUGAUGUCAAAGCUGCAUUCUUAAAUGGAGAAUUAGAUGAAAAGUUUAUAUGGAACAGCCCGAGGGCUUUGUUGUUCUUGGACAAGAGCAUAAAGUGUGUAAACUUGUCAUGUCAUUGUAUGGGCUUAAACAAGCACCUAAACAAUGGCAUCAAAAAUUUGAUCAGAUUGUUCUUUCCAAUAGUUAUAAAAUUAAUCAAUCUGAUAAAUGUAUUUAUAGUAAAUUUUCAAAUGGUAAAGGUGUUAUUAUAUGUCUAUAUGUUGAUGACAUGUUAAUUUUUGGCAUCGAUGUUCAGCAAGUAGAAAAUACUAAAAGUUUUUAAUCUUGCAAUUUUGAUAUGAAAGAUAUGGGGGAGGUUGAUAUUAUUUUGGGAAUUAAAAUUAUUCGUGAAAAUAAUGGUUUAUUUUUAACGCAGUCUUAUUAUAUCGAAAAGAUUCUUAGGAAAAAAUUAGUUAUUUUGACUGUACUCCAGUAUCUACUCCUUUUGAUCCUAAUCUAAAAUUAGUUCGCAAUACUGGUAGAUCAAUUAAUCAGUUAGAAUAUUCUAAGAUUAUUGGAAGUUUGAUGUAUGCCAUGUCUUGUACUAGGCCUGAUAUUGCAUUUGCUGUUGGUAAAUUAAGUAGAUUUAUUAGCAAUCCAGGUAAUGUACAUUGGCAUCCUAUUUACAGACUUUUGAAAUAUUUGAAAAAGACUAUGGAAUUUUCUAUAGUGGAUAUCCAACAGUAUUGGAAGGCUAUACAGAUGCCAGUUGGAUAACAAAUCAAGAAGAUCAUGCAUCCACAAGUGGGUAGAUAUUUAUAUUAGGUGGAGGUGCGAUUUCUUGGGGUUCUAAGAAACAAACAUGUAUAGCGGACUCUACCAUGGCAGCAGAAUUUAUAGCACUAGCGUCUGCUAGUAAGGAGGCGAAAUGGAUAAGGAAUUUAUUAUAUGAAAUUCUAGUUUGGCCAAAACCAAUGCCGCCGGUAUCGCUACAUUGCGAUCGUGAGGCUACGCUUUCGAGAGCAUAUAAUCAAACAUACAAUGGGAAGUCAAGACAUAUUGGAUUAAGACAUAGCUAUGUAAAACAACUGAUAUCAGAUGGCAUAAUUACCAUUGAUUUUGUAAGAUCAAACCAAAAUCUUGCGGAUCCGUUGACUAAGGGACUUCCAAGAGAAUUGAUAUUCAAGACAUCAAUGGGGAUGGAUCUCAAGCCCAUAUUACAAAGUCACCAAUGAUAGAAACUCGACUUAACACUUGAAACAUCAUCAAGUCUUAAGUUCAAUGAGCCAAAGUACAUCAUAUGGAGUGAUUGCAAGCACUAUAAUAUAAAAUUUCCAUCCCAAGUGCUUGGUAUCCGUAUUGAAAAGGGAAAGUUGAACUAAUAAAGUUCUUAAUAGACCUACAGUAGUAUUUACUGAAGUGUUAAAUACGGGACACUUCUGGUAGAGUCUACCUAUAUGAAUGUGAAGUGUGGCCGCUUCUAGGAGUUAAGGGCUUGACUCUAACAGCAUUCAUGAAACAGGAUGCGGACACAAGGCCAUAAAAGUGUCAGCAAUAAAAUAGAGCACUCGAUUGAUUAUAAAUUCCUAUGUGUGAGAUAUGUUCGGUUAGUCAAAAAAUAAUUGUUGGUUCAAAGCUUGUCUACCAUUCAAUUAUGUCUAACUUUGAUGAGUUUUCACUAAGUGUAGGUUCAAGUUUUAAUACAACUACACCUAUGCAUACGAUUUUGUCAAGUUGUCAAGAAUUUUGAUUUUUGAUUUUUGAUUUUUGAUUUUUGAUUUUGUUUUAUUUUGUAUUUUGAUGUAUUUUUAUGUAUUUUAAAAAUUGGUAGGGAAUUGUAAGGAAAUUUUUAAAAUAAUAUAUUUUUUUUAUUGAUUUUUAGUGAAUGGAUGCAACCCUUAGUGAGUGGAUGCAACUCUAAUCAAAGGAUGUGACUUUUAGUAAAAGGAUAUGACAUGAAAAGACACAUCUUUAUAGUGUGUCUCUUCGAGUAUAUGUCCGUUGGAAUUAAUUCUUACAUUCAUUGAACUUGACUCAUAUAACUAUUUGGUAGUUAUGGUCAAAUGAAAAGUCACAAUUGAAAGGUCACGUCACGAAAUACCCGUUCGUGGUCUAUAUAAGUCCACAGCGUUGGUUGCAGAAACGAAAGUAGAAAAAAAAAGAAACAGUUGAAGAGUUUAAAUCUCCAUUCAUAAUAAUUUCAUUCUUGUUUUCUUAUUCUUUUUGACAACUUAAUCAAGUGAGAGCUCAAAGGCUCGACUUCGUGUGUGCAAACGCAGUUGAAGUUUAUGCUUCAUUGUAUCCUGGGAGGCUGUUCGUUGACCCGGUGCACACCAAAUUGUUAGAACGGUAGGGAUGGAUUAAGCCUUAAGGAAAGUGGCAUUGCUACACGCCUUGAAGCCUUUUUUCAUCUUUCUAUUUCAUACCUUUUUCACUAUCUGCUCCAACAGCAAAUAGGGUUUAAAAUGUGACCUAAAGUGUGCAUGCUACCAAAUAUAGACAAAAUAUAACUGACAAAAUACAACAAGUUAUAUUGAAAGAACACAAUAAUCUACAAACAAUCAACUGUACUACAAAACCCACUACAACUUUUUUCAAAAAUCUAACCUCUAACCUAAUGAGGACAAUGUGGAUGCAAUGCUGAGGAGAGAGGGUGCGGUGGCGGCCUUGACGGUGGCAGCAGCAGCAGAGUCUUCGGUGCCGGCGACGGCGGCGUCGAAGUCGUCGGGUUCGGGCGGAGUGAGAGAGACAGAGAGGAAAUCGGGGAGAGGAGUAAGGGAGAAAGGAGAAGAGUUCGGGCGGAGUGAGGGAGACAGAGAGGAGAUCGGGGAGAGGAGUGAGGGAGAAAGGAGAAGGGUUCGGGCGGGGUCUAGGGUAUUCUAAUUAAAUGUGGUGAACUGUUCACUGCAUAUAAAAGCGGUAAACGGUUUACCGUAUUUAAAGACGAUGAAUGGUUCACCGCUUUUAAAUGCGGUGAAUAGUUAACCGUCUUUAAAAGUGGUAAACUGUUCACCACCUUUAAAGGAACGCGGUAAACCGUAUUCUUAAUUUUUCACACUAAUUCCCCACACCUGCCAGAGGCCCACAAAUGCGGUGAAUGGUUCACCGCAUAAGUAAAUGCGAUGAACCAUUCACCGCAUAUAAAGAUUUUACUCCGAGGAACUGACCUGGCCUAUUUGAGGCCUACUUUUACAAUAAAAUUUAGAGGACAAUUUUUAGAAAAAAAAUUUUAAGAUUAUUUAUAAAAAAAAUUCGUUUCUGCAACAUAGUACAUUUAUACUGUGCUAUUAAUAAGGUCACAUUUUCUAUUGAGACAUUAUUAUACUGCUGGAACGAAACAUCUAGUGAAUUAUUUAGUCUUCAAACAGAUAUCUGAUGUCACCAAUCUAGGAGAUGAUUACGAACCUAACUCUACAUGCAAAGAACUGCCUCAUGACAAUAUUAAGCGCAAUGAAAGCAAAGUGGAUGAUGAACAAAGAGGAGAAAUUUCAGAAUCCUUUGGAAUUGGAGGUUACGAAAGGAGGGACAACCUCUAAAGCCGAAAGCACCAAGGUGAAACACUAAAAAGAACGCAAAAACAUCACAAAUAUGGCCAUCUCCUUUAUCCAGUGUCCUACAUAGCAAAUUCCGAAAUUCCUCUUAUCUCCUCUUAUUUACUCGAGAACUAGUUGAUUGUUAAUAUACAUAAAAAGUUGUAUAAAACCAAAUAAAAAGGAAAAUGUAAUCUUAAUUUUUUAAGGUUAUGAUAAAUCAACUUGUAGGUAAAUAAACUACCUUAAGAAUUCACAACGACCAGCCAAACUAUGAACUUACAAUCACCCAAGAAAACCAUCAUCAAACAAAGGUGGUCUACAUACAACCUUUUGAGACAUCAGGUAGAUGUUUGCAUUAAAAAGUUUCCGAAAAGAAAAUAAGUUUUCUUAUCCGCUAUAACUUUCUCCUACUAGGCUUUUGUUAGGCUUCUCGCUAUAUUAGCAAGCAAAAUGAUAUCCUAAAUACUUUACCUUAAAUAAGGAAAAUCACAUAAAUAUGUUCCUCUCUAUAAACCAUAAAAGUAAAUUUGAAAUGUGUAAAAUUUCUAAUUUAAAAAUUUUUACAUUUCUAUUUUCCUGAUAUAAUUUGAAAUGUGUGCAGGCCACAGCCUCAGACGGAUUGAGUGAAGAGGCGGACUUUGCAAGUGAAAAGGAUGAAAACAUGUGCAAGAAAGAUGAUUGUGCUAGAGAGACCGCUCAAGAUUUUCUGGAGGAAACUACUCAUAGAGCUUGGAAGGGCGGAGAGGAAACAGAUGCAAAGAAUAUUGGAAGUGAAGACAAUGAUAGAGAUGUAAAAGGAAUCCCUGAUGUGGCACCUCAGGGAGAUUAUAAUACAAAGACACCAGAUAAUACAUACACAAAAGAAAUUAUGAUAGCAAUAGAACAAGAAGAUGAGGCAAGGACACAAGUGAGAUCAGACAAUGAGGAAACAGAAGGUGAAAAGGUAUCAACAUAUCAACUCUGCCCUUUUCAACUUUUGUAGUCUUUUUAAGCAUUUGCUAAUUACUAAACUGUUGACACGUGUAACGAAUUAGGACUGAAGAGGAAACUUGAGCAAUGAUUAUAUGAUUAUAUAGAUAUAAGCCAUAUCUGUUGUUUCCGUGAUACUGUAUUUUCUUUUGUGCUAGUUACCAUUAGCUUUAUUUUUUUAUCAAACCAUUUUAUUAACUUCUUACAAUUUCAUUUAAGCAGAUAUCUAGUGUCAAAGGUGACAGUGAACCCACAAAGGUGGAGAAUGAAUACAUAAGCAACACUGUUGGUGAUGCCUCUGAUACAGGAGAGCCAACUGGGAAGCCUGCAGACGUAGAUGAUGUGGUAGACGAUGUGCAGGAAGAAACCAUAGGAUCUACAUGUGACGAACAACAUCAGGAAAAUAUUGAGAGCAACGAAAAAAACGAGGAUGGUGAACAGAGAGAAGACAAACAUCAAACUCUUCAACAAGAGGAAUUAGUUUCUGAAGUUGAAAAUCAAGAGACAACCUCCACAACAGGCGCUAAAAAGAUGGAGAUCUCAAAAGAAGGCGAAAACCUCAUUAAUAUGGUAACCUGCUUUAUUCAAUUGCAUAGUAUGUUAAAUUCCUUGGGACCUUUCUGGAAGCUAAAAUAACUUACCCAGCAUAUCUUCUCUUACUGACUCGAGAACUAUUUAUUUCUUGAUUGUUAAGGAGAACAAAAUUAUGUCUAAACCGAAGAGCAAAAAAAGUAAGCAAACUUAUUUUUAAGGAUAUGAUAAAUCACCUUGUAGGUGAACUGGUGAAGCAUAUUAGUUUAUAUCAUCAUGGCGGAAAAUUGUCUAAAGUCAAAGUCUGUUCUCAUAAUCACUAAUUGUUACCUCCAUCCAAUACUAGUUAUCUACACAUACAUUAAGGGUUUGUAUAUUGCGCAGUUGUAGAGAUUUUUUACACUCCCUAUCAACCAUUACCACAUGCACCUUGAGCAAACAGAAAGUCAUCAGCUGAACAAGAUACUCGUGCGUCUAAGAUUCUAAAUAGGCCAUAUAGAUUUUGCAUUGAAAGACAAUACAAUAAUUCUAGCCUGUCAACUAUUUUUGAAACUUGUCUUUUAUUAAACCUCUAAUUUACCUACUGUGGGCAGAUUUCUGAAUCAGUAAAUCUGGAGGAAACUAAAAUUGAAAAUGACACGGAUGAUGAGAAGAUCAAGGAGAGCGUUGAAGAUAAUCCCCGAGAUCAUGCCUUGCUUUCACAAACAAGACAUGAUGUAGCAGACGAAGACCACACAAAAGCAGAUCAAAGUUUGGAAGGGAAGGACGGUAAUAUUGUAAGUCUUGAGAAAGAAAGUAUCAAAAGCAAGGGACCUGAUGAGGUUCACCCCAGUGAAUCAGAAGCACAUCAGCGUUUGGUGGACAAAGACAACAAUAUUGUAAGUCUUGAAAAAGAAAGCAUUGAAAGCAAAGGGCCUGAUGAGGUUCAACCCGGUGAAUCAGAAGCCACCAAGGUAGACUUUCUUUUGAAUUCUUCAAAACUUUAUGUAUUUAAUUUAACUAUUCAAUUUGCUUUCCUUAAACUCUCUGUUUUUCCAACAUGCCUCCUCAUCUCAAGUUUGACUUGUGAAAAUUUUGAUCAAGCAGGUUGCUGAAAUUGUUAGCACAACUGACGAAGCUGAAACUACGUCUGUAGAUGGAGGGGAAAGUGUUGAUGUUGACAAAGAUAAGGCAGAGUAUCAAGAGCACAAAAACGUUAUAGAGUCAGUGAUGGAGGAAUAUAAUAAAGGGGGAGCAAAUGAAACACAAAUGGCCAAGAGCCACCAGGUAAUAAUUGAUUCAAUGCCACGUAUGGUUUCGUACUAAGUCCAAAAUUCGUAUAUUUUACUGCAUGGCCAGAAGUAUAGAAACGAUUGAACUAAUAAUUCUUAGCUUCUCCUCUAAAACCCCCAUUUCUAUAUAACAUUAAUUGUUGUCCUAUCUUGAUCAGAUUCCUGAAAUGGAUGAUCUAAGCCCUGAAAAGGCUUCGGAGACAAAUGAAUCGGUGAUGAAAGAUAUGCAUGACAAAACUAAAACAAAGCAUGAAGAAGAGCCAGAUUUUGCAAGUAACAAGCCAAUUAAUCAGACUACCAUGCCUGAACAAAGUCGAAUUCCUGAAGAAGAAAAUACUAUCAUGGAAAGCAAAACAGAGUCAAGCUUCCCAAAGGAUGCAAUUGAAAAUGCCCUGAAAUCAGACCCUGAAGAGAAGGAUGAGGAAAUGCUAAAGAAUGACGAGUCCUCACAUAUUUUCCCAGAGUCCUCUCCCGACGCUGAUCAUAACAUUGCUGAGGGAUUAUGUCAUCAAGAUGAAGGGAACAAGAUAUAUGAGGAUGCAGCACCAGAAACUGCAUUCGGCAAUCAAAGCUGUGAAGCAAAUGAGGAGCAAAGAGAAACAGAGAAAAAAGAUAUGCCUAUGAAGUACAUUGACACUGUAAACAGUCAAGAAGAGACGAUACAUAAAGAAGAUUCUGAUAAUGUGGAAGAGAGCGAGAAGUGUGCAGGAGAGGAUGGAACCGCUUUAACACUUGAGCGAGCAUCUGCAGCAAAGGAUGAUGAACAAAGAGAAGAGAAAUUUCAAAAUCCUCAUGACAUAGAAUCAGAAAUGGACGUUAAGAAAGAAAAGACAACCUCUGAAGCAGAAAGCUCCAAGGUAGCGCACUUUUGGCAAAAACAUCACAAAUAUGUCCAUCUCCUUUAUCCAGUAUCCCACAUAUCAAAUUCCGAAAUUCCUAUUAUCUCCUCUUAUUUAUUCAAGAACUAUUAAGUUAGUUGAUUGUUAAUAUACAUAAAAAGGUGUAUAAAACCAAAUAAAAAGGAAAAUGGAAUCUUAAUUUUUUAAGGUUAUGAUAAAUCAACUUAUAGGUAAAUACACUACCUUAAAAAUUCACAACGACCAGCCAAACUAUGAACUUACAAUCACCCAAGAAAACCAUCAUCAAACAAAGGUGGUCUACAUACAACCUUUUGAGACAUCAGAUAGAUGUUUGCAUUAAAAAGUUUCAGCAAAGAAAAUAAGUUUUCUUAUCUGCUGUUACAUUCUCCUACUAGGCUUUUGUUAGGCUUCUAGCUAUAUUAGCCAGCAUAAUGAUAUCCUAAAUACCUUACCUUAAAUAAGUAAAAUCACAUAAAUAUGUUCCUCCCUAUAAACCUUAAAAGCAAAUUUGAAAUGUGUAAAAUUUCUAAUUUAAAAAUUUUUACAUUUCUAUUUUCCUGAUAUAAUUUGAAUGGUGUGCAGACCACAGCCUCAGACGGAUUGAGUGAAGAGGCGGACUUUGCAAGCGAAAAGGAUGAAAACAUGUGCAAGAAAGGUGAUUGUGCUAGAGAGACCGUUCAAGAUUUUUCGGAGGAAACUACUCAUAGAGCAGGGAAGGGCGGAGAGGAAACAGAUACAAAGAAUAUUGGAGGUGAAGACAAUGAUAGAGAUGUAAAAGGAAUCCCAGAUGUGGCACCUCAGGGAGAUUAUAAUACAAAGACACCAAAUAAUACAUACACAAAAGAAAUUAUGAUAGCAGUAGAACAAGAAGAUGAGGCGAGGACACAAGUGAGUUCAGAUAAUGAAAAAACAGAAGGUGAAAAGGUAUCAACAUAUCAACUCUGCCCUUUUCAACUUUUUUUAGCCUUUUUAAGCAUUUGCUAUUAACUAAACUGUUGAUACGUGUAAGGAAUUAGGGCUAAAGAGGAAACUUGAGCAACGAUUAUAUAAUUAUAUAGAUAUAAGUCAUAUAUGUUGUUUCCGUGAUAUCGUAUUUUCUUUUGUGCUUGCUAUCAUUAGCUUUAUUUUUUGAUCAAACCAUUUUAUUAACUUCUUACAAUUUCAUUUAAGCAGAUAUCCAGUGUCAAAGGUGACAGUGAACCCACAAAGGUGGAGGAUGAAUACAUAAGCAACACUGUUGUUGAUGCCUCUGAUACAGGAGAGCCAACUGGGAAGCCUGCAAACGUAGACGAUGUGGUAGAUGAUGUGCAGGAAGAAACCAUAGGAUCUAUAUGUGAAGAACAACAUCAGGAAAAUGUUGAGAGCAACGAAAAAAAUGAGGAAGGUGAACAGAGAGGAGAGGAACAUCAAACUCUUCAACAAGAGGAAUUAGUUUCUGAAGUUGAAAAUCAAGAGACAACCUCCACAACAGGAGCUAAAAAGAUGGAGAUCUCAAAAGAAGGCGAAAACCUCAUUAAUAUGGUAACCUGCUUUAUUCAAUUGCAUAGUAUGUUAAAUUCCUUGGGACCUAUCUGGAAGCUAAAAUAACUUACCCAGCAUAUCUCCUCUUACUGACUCGAGAACCAUUUAUUUCUUGAUUGUUAAGGAGCACAAAAUUAUGUCUAAACAAAGAGCAAAAAAAGUAAACAAACUUAUUUUUAAGGAUAUGAUAAAUCACCUUGUAGGUGAACUCGUGAAACAUACUAGUUUAUAUCACUAUAGCUUUUAGGGAAUUGUCUAAAGUCAAACUCUUUUCUCAUAAUCACAAAUUGUUACCUCCAUCCAAACUAGUUAUCUACAUAUACAUUAAGGGUCUGUACGUUGCGCAGUUGUAGAGAUUUUUUACACUCCCUAUCAACCAUUACCACAUGCACCUUGAGCAAACAGUAAGUCAUCUGCUAAACAAGAUACUCGUGCAUCUAAAUAGGCCAUAUAGCUUUUGCAUUGAAAGACAAUACAAUAAUUCUAGCCUGUCAACUAUUUUUGAAACUUGUAUUUUAUUAAACUUCUAAUUUACCAACUGUGGGCAGAUUUCUGAAUCAGUAAAUCUGGAGGAAACUAAAAUUGAAAAUGACACGGAUGACGAGAAGAUCAAGGAGAGCAUUGAAGAUAAUCCCCGAGAUCUUGCCUUGCCUUCACAAACAAUCCAUGAUGUAGCAGAUGAAGACCACGCAGAAGCAGUUCAAAGUUUGGAGGGGAAGGACGGCAAUAUUGCAAGUCUUGAGAAAGAAAGUAUCAAAAGCAAGGGACCUGAUGAGGUUCACCCCAGUGAAUCAGAAGCACAUCAAAGUUUGGAGGACAAAGACAACAAUAUUGUAAGUUUUGAAAAAGAAAGCAUUGAAAGCAAAGGUCCUGAUGAGAUUCAACUCAGUGAAUUAGAAGGCACCAAGGU
rnacentral:lncRNA from 1 species